rnacentral:misc_RNA from 1 species
UACGUAGGGUGCAAGCGUUGUCCGGAAUUAUUGGGCGUAAAGAGCGUGUAGGCGGCUUGAUAAGUCUGCUGUGAAAGUCCAGGGCUCAACCCUGGAAAGCCGGUGGAUACUGUUGAGCUAGAGUCCGGAAGGGGCGAGUGGAAUUCCUGGUGUAGCGGUGAAAUGCGCAGAUAUCAGGAGGAACACCAGUGGCGAAGGCGACUCUUUGGCCUAUAACUGACGCUGAGGCGCGAAAGCGUGGGGAGCAAACAGG